rnacentral:rRNA from 1 species
GUGGGGAAUAUUGGACAAUGGGCGAAAGCCUGAUCCAGCCAUGCCGCGUGUGUGAAGAAGGCCUUCGGGUUGUAAAGCUCUUUUACCCGGGAAGAUAAUGACUGUACCGGGAGAAUAAGCCCCGGCUAACUCCGUGCCAGCAGCCGCGGUAAUACGGAGGGGGCUAGCGUUGUUCGGAAUUACUGGGCGUAAAGCGCACGUAGGCGGUCUUUUAAGUCAGAGGUGAAAGCCCGGGGCUCAACUCCGGAAUUGCCUUUGAAACUGGGAGACUUGAACACGGGAGAGGUGAGUGGAAUUCUGAGUGUAGAGGUGAAAUUCGUAGAUAUUCGGAGGAACACCAGUGGCGAAGGCGGCUCACUGGACCGUUGUUGACGCUGAGGUGCGAAAGCGUGGGGAGCAAACAGGAUUAGAUACCCCGGUAGUCC